GCUAAAUGUCACUGAAUCCUCAACUGGAUUGCAAACUUAAAGCACUCUGGAGGCUUCAUUUGAUGUAUGUAAACAGAGAUCCUAAGCAAAUACUUCAUGAAAAACAGCAGACUGCAAUGAGCAGCACAGAGCCAGGCAGCAUCCAAACAUUAACCAGUGCUGUUAAAUUGGAUUUCAUAAAUGAUCCCUGCCUGCUAUGUUUUGUCUGCUUUACAUACAAGCCAGUAUACCUCUUCAUCUGUUUUGGGACUGCAGUGUGCAAAUAUGCAAAGAAGAUCAUCCAAGGAGAUGACUACAUGUGGCCAGGAAAUGGAAAAUUUUGAAUCUAGAACAUCUUACAACAAUUUAUUAAUUGCUGUAAUCUUUCCAUGGUGGUAAAGUGAUUCAGUUCAGAAUAAAAUUCCCUGAUUUUCAGUAAUUUUCAUUUCUUUCUUAUUAAGGUCAGAAAAUAAUUCCUGAUAAAGAAAAAAAAACCUUGCAGGAAUAGAGAUAUUAAGUCAGAACAAUAAUACUUCUGCUUAAAAAUUUUGUCCAAAAGCUAAGGCUUGAGGUAUGCAAUACUGAAAGAAAUGAUCGUGUUUUGGAGAUAUCAAAGCUUUAAAGAAGUAUGAUGUCAGUUACCUGUAAAAAUGACCUCUUUACUUUUCCUUUGAAGAUGAGCUCUUCAUAAUGGCCCCACAAGACCUUGACAUAGGAGGUAACCUAAAGAAAAUACAUCUUUGUGCCUUUACAUUAAUGUCAUUUACAUUAAUGUCAUUCUAAACUGGAGAGCCAGACACAAACAUUGAGAGAAACAGCACAUUGCUCAUGCUCCUUUAAAGACUUCCUUUGAUCUCUGUGUCUAAGCUUUGAUAGCUUCCCCACAGAACAAAUCAUUGCAUAACAUGCAUAGCAUUCAAAAUUAAUAAAUUAG